GCAUCAUGAUUUACAUUUGAGUGAGUGGCGAACUGGUGAGUAACACGUGGGAAACCUGCCCAGAAGCGGGGGAUAACACCUGGAAACAGAUGCUAAUACCGCAUAACAACUUGGACCGCAUGGUCCGAGCUUGAAAGAUGGCUUCGGCUAUCACUUUUGGAUGGUCCCGCGGCGUAUUAGCUAGAUGGUGGGGUAACGGCUCACCAUGGCAAUGAUACGUAGCCGACCUGAGAGGGUAAAUCGGCCACAUUGGGACUGAGACACGGCCCAAAACUCCUACGGGAGGCAGCAGUAGGGAAUCUUCCACAAUGGACGAAAGUCUGAUGGAGCAACGCCGCGUGAGUGAAGAAGGGGUUUCGGCUCGUAAAACUCUGUUGUUAAAGAAGAGCAUAUCUGAGAGUAACUGUUCAGGUAUUGACGGUAUUUAACCAGAAAGCCACGGCUAACUACGUGCCAGCAGCCGCGGUAAUACGUAGGUGGCAAGCGUUGUCCGGAUUAUUGGGCGUAAAGCGAGCGCAGGCGGUUUUUUAAGUCUGAUGUGAAAGCCUUCGGCUCAACCGAAGAAGUGCAUCGGAAACUGGGAAACUGGAGUGCAGAAGAGGACAGUGGAACUCCAUGUGUAGCGGUGAAAUGCGUAGAUAUAUGGAAGAACACCAGUGGCGAAGGCG
rnacentral:rRNA from 1 species